rnacentral:rRNA from 1 species
UACGUAGGGGGCUAGCGUUGUCCGGAUUUAUUGGGCGUAAAGAGCGUGUAGGCGGCCAGGUAGGUCUGCUGUGAAAACUCGAGGCUCAACCUCGAGACGUCGGCGGAAACCAUCUGGCUAGAGUCCGGAAGAGGAGAGUGGAAAGUUCCUGGUGUAGCGGUGAAAUGCGCAGAUAUCAGGAAGAACACCCCGUGGCGAAGGCGGCUCUCUGGGACGGUACUGACGCUGAGACGCGAAAGCGUGGGGAGCGAACAGG